UGAUGAGCCGUGAAAGUGAAUUUCCUCAUAUGAAACACAAUCAUUCUGAAUCAGAGUCUGAAAUCACAGUAAACUACCAUGCACUCCAGCUCAACAGUGAUGAUGCUGACUAGCAGUGUGGUGAGGGAGGGAUGCUCUCCUCUCAGCUGCUCUGCCACCUAUGAAGCCAUAUAGGGCACAGCCAUUUUGGGUCUCAUUCUCAGCUCCAGUGUCACAUGACUCCCCCAGAGUCCUGAUAUGGCCAUCAAUCUGGUCCUGAACCUGGGAGCGUUAGACCGGCGCCACCGAACAAUCUGCAGCAGUACAGGUUUCUAAGGCGAACCACAGCUCAGAGCCACGAACAGUGAGUAAUGAUAAUGAUGCUGAUAACAGCCGUGGUUACACAUCAAUGGCAGGUAUAGGAAGGUAGUGAGUGUGUUACGUCAUUGUGGUGAUACAGAGAUGGUACAGAGCAAAUAUUGAAAAUACUGAAUACAAUUAUAAUACUAUGGGUUAGCUAUAAAUCUGUCAGCACGACCAUAAUCGGACAGAGUAAGCAGUCCUGCUGGUACAGAAGAGAUGAGAGGGAAGAAUAGUGUUCACCCUGUCAGCUCUUCAGAGGAUCAGCUUUACCACGGUCUGCCCCUCCACACACAAGUCUCUCUCCUUGCUGAUCUGCGUGCACUGCCACCUGGUGUCCAAUCAAAGUGAAGCUCUCACGGUGCUCCUCGAGGUGCUUGGGACAAUGGCCAGUCCUUUCAUCAUCUCAGGAAUACUCUCAGGAGCUUGAAAGGAGGAUGACAACAACAUCACAGUGGCGGUGGGGACAGCAUCAGAGGCAGAGGAUGGUGGUCUGGUCAGAAUGUGGAGAAGAUAGAUGCAAUGGCCAUCAUUAUCAACCAGAGGAGCAGAAA